rnacentral:ncRNA from 1 species
GUUAUCAAGAAAGGCGGAGGGAUUAGACCCUGUGAAGCCUUAGCAACCCUUCCCCCGGGAUGAAGGUGCUACAUUCUACAACAGCCUGGCUGAUGAUAGAUAA